rfam:Triticum aestivum genome assembly, contig: Triticum_aestivum_CS42_TGACv1_scaffold_641639_T_4AS-0.202444_4AL-0.153456
CAAAUACUCCCUCCGUCCGAAAAUACUUGUCAUCAAAAUGGAUAAAAGGAAAUGUAUCUAGACGUAUUUUAGUUUUAGAUACAUCUCUUUUUAUUGAUGACAAGUAUUUUUGGACGGAGGGAGUAGAAA